rnacentral:rRNA from 1 species
UACGGAGGAUGCGAGCGUUAUCCGGAUUUAUUGGGUUUAAAGGGUGCGUAGGCGGACGCUUAAGUCAGCGGUAAAAUUGCGGGGCUCAACCUCGUCGAGCCGUUGAAACUGGGUGCCUUGAGUGGGCGAGAAGUACGCGGAAUGCGUGGUGUAGCGGUGAAAUGCAUAGAUAUCACGCAGAACUCCGAUUGCGAAGGCAGCGUACCGGCGCCCAACUGACGCUGAAGCACGAAGGCGUGGGUAUCGAACAGG